rfam:Sclerotinia borealis F-4128 unplaced genomic scaffold scaffold00050, whole genome shotgun sequence.
UCCCUGCUGGCGCAAUGGUAGCGCGCAAGACUUCUAAUCUUGAGGCUAUUGGUUCGAGUCCAAUGUAGGGAG